UACGUAGGGUGCAAGCGUUGUCCGGAAUUAUUGGGCGUAAAGAGCGUGUAGGCGGCCCGAUUAGUCCGCUGUGAAAGUCCAGGGCUCAACCCUGGAAUGCCGGUGGAUACUGUCGGGCUAGAGUCCGGAAGGGGCGAGUGGAAUUCCUGGUGUAGCGGUGAAAUGCGCAGAUAUCAGGAGGAACACCAAUGGCGAAGGCAGCUCGCUGGGACGUGACUGACGCUGAGACGCGAAAGCGUUGGGAGCGAACAGG
rnacentral:rRNA from 1 species